GAUGAGCUCAGAGUCCACUGCAGAACUGUCUGGAGGUGUCCUGCAGGGCAGCGAGGAGCCAAGAUGGUCCAGACAGAAGGAGGAAGGGCAGAGCAAUCUUGCGGAAUGCGACCGCAUUGGCUUGGUGCCUGGCAGGCAGAUUCCUUUCAUGGUGUCCAAAAUUUACAAACGACGGGUGAGCCCGUCCUGAAGUGAGCAACACCAUGAAGAAACAGCCACUGCUGACGCUCCGAGUAAGGCCACUGCUCCCACACUGCCUGCUUUUGCAAUCAGGCUAGCUAUCAGGGUCCUGUUUCCUGCUGACCUUAUUCUGCUGGGGAAGGUGGGCUGCAGCUGCUCCCCGAGCCAGGACCCCGACAGCUUCCCAGAUGUUGGUGCUCCAGGGGCGACGGCGCCUUCUCGGUCCCCACGCCCCCUGCAAGGCUCCUGCCUUCAGUGACCCUUUCUGAGACUCCCGUUGGUUUCAGGGUCGUUUGCUGCCACUCUGGUUCACAGCAGGUCGAGUGACAGGGUGGGAGAAACACAGGGGGACCCGGGGCUCACACCUAGGUGAAAGAGUGACAUGAAUGGAGAAGAAAAUGUAAAAAUUCCUCUGUGUUGGAGAGAGAUUAUGCCGGCUUACCCACUGGGUUCCUGCUGAGCGCAGUAGUAAUUGGAAUGUAUUCUUUGCAAAGUUUAUUGGGUCCUGGAGCGACUUGUUACUGAACUGGUCAAUUAAUCUAUUUUUUUGUUUUUUAAUGAGUUAGGGGAUUUCCUUCAGCAGAAACUCACCAGGAAGCAUGACCGAAUGCCCAGAGCUCAGGGAAAGGCUGGCCUUUCCUUCUCGAAAACCCUAUCCAACAACUGAAGGAGGAAAUGGACGCCUCCCGCUACAGGUGGCAAAUUGGGCUGAUGCGGGAGCCACAGAGGAAGGGUUUACCCUGCACAGAGAAGCGACGGUAAAGACUCAUUCCCGUGUUUCCCUCCUGCUCCUUCUGCCUCCUGACCAACCCUGGUGCCUCCUCAGGCAGAUCAGUGUGCAUCGAGGCCAUUGCUAAUUCCCUGGAGCGCAGGGGCCCUCUGAAUUCACUUCUCUGCCCGUGCUUCUAAGACCCACAUGAGAGGGUACCCAAGGUGGGGCACCUUCCGCUAUUCAAGAGGGCGCC
ensembl:lincRNA